CACGUAGGGGGCGAGCGUUGUCCGGAUUUAUUGGGCGUAAAGAGCGUGUAGGCGGCCAGGUAGGUCAGCUGUGAAAACUCGAGGCUCAACCUCGAGACGUCGGUUGAAACCACCUGGCUAGAGUCCGGAAGAGGAGAGUGGAAUUCCUGGUGUAGCGGUGAAAUGCGCAGAUAUCAGGAAGAACACCCGUGGCGAAGGCGGCUCUCUGGGACGGUACUGACGCUGAGACGCGAAAGCGUGGGGAGCGAACAGG
rnacentral:rRNA from 1 species